rnacentral:rRNA from 1 species
UGCCUUAGUAACGGCGAGUGAAGCGGCAAAAGCUCAAAUUUGAAAUCUGGUACCUUUGGUGCCCGAGUUGUAAUUUGGAGAGGGCAACUUUGGGACCGUUCCUUGUCUAUGUUCCUUGGAACAGGACGUCAUAGAGGGUGAGAAUCCCGUGUGGCGAGGAGUGCGGUUCUAUGUAAAGUGCCUUCGAAGAGUCGAGUUGUUUGGGAAUGCAGCUCUAAGUGGGUGGUAAAUUCCAUCUAAAGCUAAAUAUUGGCGAGAGACCGAUAGCGAACAAGUACAGUGAUGGAAAGAUGAAAAGAACUUUGAAAAGAGAGUGAAAAAGUACGUGAAAUUGUUGAAAGGGAAGGGCAUUUGAUCAGACAUGGUGUUUUGCGCCCUCUGCUCCUUGUGGGUAGGGGAAUCUCGCAUUUCACUGGGCCAGCAUCAGUUUUGGUGGCAGGAUAAAUCCGUAGGAAUGUAACUUGCUUCGGGAAGUAUUAUAGCCUGCGGGAAUACUGCCAGCUGGGACUGAGGACUGCGACGUAAGUCAAGGAUGCUGGCAUAAUGGUUAUAUGCCGCCCGUCUUGAAACACGGACC